GGAAGUAAAAGUCGUAACAAGGUCUCCGUAGGUGAACCUGCGGAGGGAUCAUUACACAAUAACAAGGCGGGCUGGACACCCCCAGCCGGGCACUGCUUCACGGCGUGCGCGGCUGGGCCGGCCCUGCUGAAUUAUUCACCCGUGUCUUUUGCGUACUUCUUGUUUCCUGGGUGGGCUCGCCCGCCAUCAGGACCAACCACAAACCUUUUGCAAUAGCAAUCAGCGUCAGUAACAACGUAAUUAAUUACAACUUUCAACAACGGAUCUCUUGGUUCUGGCAUCGAUGAAGAACGCAGCGAAAUGCGAUACGUAGUGUGAAUUGCAGAAUUCAGUGAAUCAUCGAAUCUUUGAACGCACAUUGCGCCCUUUGGUAUUCCAAAGGGCAUGCCUGUUCGAGCGUCAUUUGUACCCUCAAGCUUUGCUUGGUGUUGGGCGUCUUUUGUCUCCAGUUCGCUGGAGACUUGCCUUAAAGUCAUUGGCAGCCGGCCUACUGGUUUCGGAGCGCAGCACAAGUCGCGCUCUUUGCCAGCCAAGGUCAGCGUCCAGCAAGCCUUUUUUUUCAACCUUUGACCUCGGAUCAGGUAGGGAUACCCGCUGAACUUAAGCAUAUCAAUAAGCGGAGGAAAG
rnacentral:rRNA from 1 species